GGCAGUUCUCAGGUGACACACCCUGGAACUGGGCUCCCUCUUCUCUGGUUCCAGGUGCAUCACCUGAGAACUGCA
rfam:Myotis brandtii contig263308, whole genome shotgun sequence.